CCAGGGGACCGUAAUAAACGCCAUCACUGCGAACGAUCCCCCAAUCGUCACUAUUCUGCAGAACCAGACAGAGAUAGUCGGUUUCUUCGGUAGAGUGUGGAAAAUCCUCGAGCAAAACAUGAAUUUCAGAACAAACUACACGAUCACAGGAGACCUGACAAAGGGCAAGCCGACGCAGAAGGGCGACUGCAGUGGUAUGAUCGGCG